rnacentral:lncRNA from 1 species
CAGAGGUACGCAUCAUGUCACCAUGGCAACUUGUGUAAACCACAUAGGCACCAGAAGGACUGUGUGUUCACCUGUCUUCCUGCAGGAGGCGCUCUCAGCUCUGCAGCUGUCAGAGGACGAGGUGAAGGAUGUGGUCAGCGCUCAGCUCAUCCCUCUGAUUGGACGUCGGCAGAGUGCAGAUGAAGAGCGGUUGGCUGCUUUAGACGCCUGCAGCGACUCUGUGACCUGCCACUCUCUCAGUCUCAGUACAAGCGUGUUUGUUGUGAUGCGAGCGGCAGCGGCGCUCUGGGAGACACACCGCCACAGGUUGGAGAGGAGAGAACGUGAGCUUCAGCAGCAGCUGUGCGACAUCAGCCGCUCGCAUCAGCAGGACGUACAGAGUAAAAAAGUGCACUUGGACAUACUGCUGGGAUGUCUUCGCCAGGCGAGCAGCGAAAAGGACUUGGAGACAUGUCUGGACAGGACUGUCCACUAUGCACAGGACAUCCAGCAAAGCUGCAGACAGUUUGUCUCCAAACAGUGGGAGCUGUUGGACCGUCUCCCGUCUCUCUGUGUGGACGAACUCCUCUCUUACAGCAGAAGCCUCAGCUCCUUCUACCACCUGAGCCACUCCUACCAACCAACAGCAGAAGUCCUGCAGAGUCUCCAUCCAUCCCCCACUUCCAUUGGACUGGACCCAGGUGAGGAGGCCGGUGGGGAACUGCCUGAGGAGUCGACCGACAAUCGUCCAAUCAGCUGUCAGAAUAAUGGAUCCCCCCCCCAGGACUGUCAGCGCUGGCUGACUGAGGCGGAGUCCUCCCUGCUGGAGAUCUGUGACAUCAGCAGCUCUGUCACCAUUACAUCAUCGGGCGGCACGGUGUACACGGGCCCGGCCUUCAGAUGCCCCGCCCCUGACCUGCAGGAAACACACCUGAGCCUGUUUCCUGUGGAGCUCCUCACACACACACUGUGCAGAACCCGGGCUCUGUUUCUGGACCACCUGGAGCGGCAUUACCAUGACGUCCUUAACUCAGCUGGUGCAGCGGUGACAGACAGGAAGGAGGCGGCGAGCUCCGAGCUGAACCUCCAGCUGCAGCAUCUGAAGCCCGAACACAUCAAGACCCACAUACACCAGCCGCGCCAUGGUAACACACAGACACACACACACAGAUACACAGACAGACACACACACAGACGGACACAGAGACACACACAGACACACACAGACACGCACACAGACACACAACACACACACAGACACACAAACACACAUACACAGACACACACAGACACACACACACACAGACACACACACACACACACAGACAGACACACACACACACACAGACAGACAGACACACAGACGGACACAGAGACACACACAGACACACAAACACACAGACACGCACACAGACACACAAACACACACACACAAACACACACACACACAGACAGACACACACACCGACAGACACACACACACACAGACACACACACACACAGGGGCCCUCCAGAUUG